rnacentral:rRNA from 1 species
GAUGAACGCUGGCGGCGUGCCUAAUACAUGCAAGUCGAGCGAACGGACGAGAGGCUUGCUUCUCUGAUGUUAGCGGCGGACGGGUGAGUAACACGUGGAUAACCUACCUAUAAGACUGGGAUAACUUCGGGAAACCGGAGCUAAUACCGGAUAAUAUUUUGAACCGCAUGGUUCAAAAGUGAAAGACGGUCUUGCUGUCACUUAUAGAUGGAUCCGCGCUGCAUUAGCUAGUUGGUAAGGUAACGGCUUACCAAGGCAACGAUGCAUAGCCGACCUGAGAGGGUGAUCGGCCACACUGGAACUGAGACACGGUCCAGACUCCUACGGGAGGCAGCAGUAGGGAAUCUUCCGCAAUGGGCGAAAGCCUGACGGAGCAACGCCGCGUGAGUGAUGAAGGUCUUCGGAUCGUAAAACUCUGUUAUUAGGGAAGAACAUAUGUGUAAGUAACUGUGCACAUCUUGACGGUACCUAAUCAGAAAGCCACGGCUAACUACGUGCCAGCAGCCGCGGUAAUACGUAGGUGGCAAGCGUUAUCCGGAAUUAUUGGGUGUAAAGCGCGCGUAGGCGGUUUUUUAAGUCUGAUGUGAAAGCCCACGGCUCAACCGUGGAGGGUCAUUGGAAACUGGAAAACUUGAGUGCAGAAGAGGAAAGUGGAAUUCCAUGUGUAGCGGUGAAAUGCGCAGAGAUAUGGAGGAACACCAGUGGCGAAGGCGACUUUCUGGUCUGUAACUGACGCUGAUGUGCGAAAGCGUGGGGAUCAAACAGGAUUAGAUACCCUGGUAGUCCACGCCGUAAACGAUGAGUGCUAAGUGUUAGGGGGUUUCCGCCCCUUAGUGCUGCAGCUAACGCAUUAAGCACUCCGCCUGGGGAGUACGACCGCAAGGUUGAAACUCAAAGGAAUUGACGGGGACCCGCACAAGCGGUGGAGCAUGUGGUUUAAUUCGAAGCAACGCGAAGAACCUUACCAAAUCUUGACAUCCUUUGACAACUCUAGAGAUAGAGCUUUCCCCUUCGGGGGACAAAGUGACAGGUGGUGCAUGGUUGUCGUCAGCUCGUGUCGUGAGAUGUUGGGUUAAGUCCCGCAACGAGCGCAACCCUUAAGCUUAGUUGCCAUCAUUAAGUUGGGCACUCUAAGUUGACUGCCGGUGACAAACCGGAGGAAGGUGGGGAUGACGUCAAAUCAUCAUGCCCCUUAUGAUUUGGGCUACACACGUGCUACAAUGGACAAUACAAAGGGCAGCGAAACCGUGAGGUCAAGCAAAUCCCAUAAAGUUGUUCUCAGUUCGGAUUGUAGUCUGCAACUCGACUACAUGAAGCUGGAAUCGCUAGUAAUCGUAGAUCAGCAUGCUACGGUGAAUACGUUCCCGGGUCU